GCCGGGCAUGGUGGUGCAUGCCUGCAGUCCCAGCUACUUGGGAGGCUGAGGUGGGAGGAUUGCUUGAGCCUGGGAGGUUGAGGCUGCAGUGAGCUGUAAUUGCACUACUGCACUCCAGCCUGGGUGACAAAGCAAGUUCCUGUCUCAA
rnacentral:SRP_RNA from 1 species